CAGCCCGCAGGUCAAAUGCGGCCCGCUCAGCACUAGAGGGGGUUAGUUGACAAGGCAAAAUAAAAUCCCGCCGCUUCGCCGGGGAAGCGCCGCUGUGGCUGAGCGCAAAAAUACCCGAGGAGGAGCGAGGCGCGCGCCAAACUUCACGCGGGUGCUCGGCCGCGGCUGCCUCAGAGGCGGGCGGCCCGGUCGGGCGGCGACGCGCUCUGCCCUGGCACCGGGCGCUGCGCUUUCGGCCGGCUGGAACCGGCCGUAGGCAUCUCCAAAACAGGGGGUCCACUGAGCAGAGGAAGCCCACCGGAGGAUGGUUUUACUGAUGAGCGUGAAACGCAGUUCCGGGAGUGGCUCCCCGACUGGACAGCCGCGGAAGAAGAUACCUGGGAUUUUGCGGAAGAGAUGUACUUUUUAAAGUUACACCAAGAGAGUACAUGAGUGAAUAUCCCCAACUAAGGAAAACUUCAGUGAUCCAAAAAAGAAAAAAAAAAAAAAAAGCUGAACUAUUCAAGCUACAAGCAAAUCUGAACUAGAUAGCAGUUGGCAAAAAGAGGAUUGAUGUCUGCUUCUCAGGCUUCCAGCCACUAGAGGGCAAGUCUUUUCUGUGUCUUUUCCCAUUUAAGAAAGUAUUUGACUCCAAACACAAAGCUCUAUUUCCUAUACAGCAUAUAUCAGAUUGAACACACUAUUCUAACAGAUAUAUCUGAACCUGAAUCCUUUCAGCACUACUGAACAACAUUCAAGGAACAAAUAAGGUCACAGCAUGGUAAUACCAGCUUUUCUUAAGUCAAUGGUCACAGGGAACAAGAGAAGAUAAAAUCUCAUUGGGUAUCAACCUAUUGGACAUCAACUCAAUUCUUCCCUUACUUUAACUGUGCAACCUGCACCUUUGUUAAUUUUAUACAAGUAAAUGCACCAAGGUAAACUGCAAUGAGGAUAUAAAGUACUUACUUCAAACCAGUGAAAUCUGAAGGGCACUGUUUACUUUCAGAUCAAAAAAGAACAAGUGAUAAUUUUAUCAAAGAAUUCCUAUGCAAUUCUUCCAAUGUAUGUGGCUCCUGGGAGUGGUGGCCUUAUACCCCAGAUCUUGGCAGAUAACUAUGAUUUAUUCACUGGCAGUCAUCUGACCUGCUCACUGAUCCAGGCCAGAACUAUCAAAAAUGUAUUUAACAACAAAGAAUAAAUCACUUCAGAUGAGUCUUUUAUAGUGGCUGAUUGAAGCUGCUAAAUGGAGUAUUUAACCUGAGUUACAAGUCACAUGUAUCUCGUUUUCAUCACUUCUCAAGCAACAGGUUUCAAUAGAGAACAAAUGUAGCAGAUCUCCGAGGAAGUAAGUAUCAAAUAUGUUUAAAUUAGGUGGUGUAGGUUAGGUUAGGGAUGGACAUACAGAGAUUAUCCUGGUUUGUGGAGAGGAAGAAAGGAGUUGCUUUGAGGGCUUUUCGGAACAGCAGUAUGUUUUUAUUAAUGGAAUCAAUAAUCAAGAACUCCUACUGCAUGUACUGUUUCUCUAUCAUUCAUCUUAAUCACGAUAACUGGAUUCUCUUGGUAAGACUCAUAACUGGUGUGGUAAAGUUUCCAGCUCUAGUUUGUAAGAAUACUGUGUUGUUUUCAUGAUGAAAAAAUAAUACGUAUUUUUUUCUUUUGUAACCAAAACAGUGUCUCUAAUUUCAAAGGUUUUGUUCUAUUUUUACUUGCAUCUCUUAGUGUUUCAGCUUGCCAUGGGCCUAGUAACUGUGAUAUUCCCUGAAAAAUAAAGGGAUUACAUGGAAAUAGUGUCACAUACUCUGAUAGAAAUGCAUCAACAGACGCCACUGUAAUACAAUUAAAAAUAAAUUUCAU